CCCUUAAGCCUAGUUGCUUAGUGUUGGGAAUCUGCCCUGUAUUUAUAGGGCAGUUCCUUAAAGUGAUCGGCGGAGUUAGGGCAUACUCUAAGCGUAGUAAUAUUCUUCUCGCUUCUGUAGUUGUCCUGGCGGCUUGCCGUUAAACCCCUAUAUUUCUAGUGGUUGACCUCGGAUUAGGUAGGAAUACCCGCUGAACUUAA
rnacentral:misc_RNA from 1 species